UCCGGAGUCGUCUAAAGGCAGGACAUAGGACUUUGAAUCCUAGAAUGAUGGUUCGAAUCCAUCCUCCGGAA
rnacentral:tRNA from 1 species